AGGAACUAGCCUGGAGGUGGGGCGGAAGGUAGGGGCGGGGGCAAGGCUGGAAACCGGAAGCUGCCCGUGCCGCGCCGCGCGUGCGCCAGAAAUCCAAUGACUUGUCAGCCAGAGUAACGGCUGUUGUCAGGUCUUCAGGGUCUCGAGGUAGACAUGAUCGCCAAGGCAGCUGAUUGUCCCAAGGAAUAAGUAUGAGCAAUGAGCACAGAGGGAAAAUCAUGAAACAUCUGAGGACCAUGAGAACUGCUAAAACAAUACGUAGAACUAGCUAUACCAGAGAAAGUCAAGUGAAUGGAUCAGACAAUAAGAAUUGAAAAUAAGCUUAAUAGAGCUUCAGAGAAAGAAGGGAGAAUGUUGGAAACACAAAGCACAAACAAGCAUUUGUGAAUUGGAUGUUGACAAAUAUUAAUGAAAUAACUCAAUGGAUGGGUUGAAUAUAGCUGGACAGUUCACUCAUGAACCGGAAGAUUAGAGCAAGGAAGGAACUAAGAAAUGGAAAGCAUGAAAGGAGAGUUAAGAAAUGUGGAAGGUAGAAGCAUAAAUAUUUUUCUAAUGGAAAUUCCAGAAGGGGAAAAAAAGAACAUGUGAAAGAAUUAUUGCUGAGAAUUUCCCAGAAUUGAAGACAUACUUUAGAAUGAAAAAGGCCAACUCUAACUUUGGGAUUUCUAGCUUCAGAGAAAUGAAAAUUUAGAAUGACCAAGGGGAGUGCACAGGAUUUUUUGGGCAGUGAAACUAUUCUGCAUGAUACUAUAAUGGUGGAUGCAUGCUAUUACACAUUUGUCAAAACCCAUUGAAUGUACAUCACUGAGAAUGAAGCCUAAUGUAUGCACUUUGGAUGAUUAUGAUGUGUCAAUGCUCAAGUGGUCAGAAAUGACUGGGAAGAAGGGAGAAAAACUCAGGUGGCAAAGGACAUGGACGAAAACCCAUGGCGACAUGGAAAGAAAACCCUGUGAUAUAGAGAGGAAAAGCACAGGACAGCUUAUUGGGGAGAAUGGAACUCUUCUGUAUCCUGAUUGCGGUGAUGGCCACGCAUGGCUUAGAGACGGGCUUUCACCACGUUGACUAAGCUAGUCUUGAACUCGUGACCUCAGGUGAUCCACCUGCCUCAGCCUCGCUAAGUCUAAAAAUAGGUCUUGUCUUGAACUCCUGACCUCAAGCAAUCCUCUUGCCUUGGCUUCCUAAAGUGCUGGUAUUACAGGUGUAAGCCACCGUGCCUGGGGUAUUUUUAAUAUGAUGUAACAGUUCAGAAAAAUGUCAUCUCCCCUUCUUUCACAUGUCAUGUAUAAGUCCUUGCAAUCCAUUACCCAGAUUUACUCUGUAUUCCCAAUUUUGAGAAAUCAUAAAUGCAUCAUCUAUCUCAAAUAGUGAGUUAUCUAUCUCAAAUAGUGGGCUUUUCCUCAAAAUGAGUUCUUUUUCAGUGCAGCUUUUAGCUUAUUAAAUUACCUGUCUAAAAGUGACUGCAAAGAAAUAUAAAGGAUCCACUGGUAAUUUCUUUUUAUUAAAAAAGAAUACUUUUUAUAUUUCCUUUUAAAAUAGCUUUCAACCAGAAUUGUCUAGGAGAGGCAAAGAUAUAACCUGUUCAUCUGGUACCACUAUCACCCACAGAAUAUGAUAUGAGUUCUGAGCUUUUCC
rnacentral:lncRNA from 1 species